CCUAAUGCCUAGACUAAAAUCCGCCGCAGACCCAUAGAGAACCCCUAACGCCAAAAAUCAAAAUCCCUCCCUUUCCAAAAACCCAGCUGCCCACCCUCUAAAGAUCUCUCACACCAAAAGAGCAGCCAUUAUUUAACGGGGAAACCACCACGUUUGACAAAAGAAGACUAGAGCCGCUUCCUGAAGUCUUUUCUCUCCAUUCUUGAACUAGUCUCACUUCAAACAACUUUGGUUGAUUGAACCUACAAAGCUACUUUUAUCGUAGAUACGAGCUAUAUAAUCUUUUGAAAGACGAGGUUCCGUUCACUCGUGGUCGCCGGCGUAGUCUCUGAUCCGGUCACGGUCCAGUUCAAUUGUUCUUCUGAUUUUUCUAUGGUUUGUUGGAAACUAGGUGUGGAUUUACUUACCGGAGUUGGAGCAUGACAGAGACUAGGACAUCUAGUCAGGAUCGCUCAUUUAAAAGUGGAUUAACAGAAGAUUUUCUUUUCUUUUUGUGUCUUGAGUCUUCUUUUUUGUAUUUAUUUUAUGUCGUCUUUUACCUUUUAGUUUUGAAUAGUAAUGUCGAGUUUUAUUAUUAUUAUUGUACUUUCUAUUUUGCAUUUGAAAAGGUGUGUAAUAAAUCAAAAAUUCAAAAAAAAAAAAGAAUUGCAUU